rnacentral:lncRNA from 1 species
AUUGAAAUUAUCUGGUUUACUUAAAAUGCAGUAAUAUGUACGUUUUUCUCCUGGGCCCCCAAACCUCAAAGACCUCAUUCUGGAAAGAACCUAGUUAACAAUAUGUGGUCUAAGUGGCCAUAACCACAAAGUGCCUAUUUGGCAGAAAACUCAUAAGCAGGUAGUCCUAUCUUGAGAAUCUAAUUCCACAUGCCUAACAGCAUACCCAAGAUCACUAUUACCUCCUACCCCUUCCAAAAUAACAACGUUCUCACCUCCCGAUCUGGAGUCUGGGUCCAAAUGAGAAAGCAUUGGCAAGCGUUUCCACGCAGGGAUAAGCACCCCCACGUCUUUCCAGCUUAGCUCUCCAAGCAGCUCUGGCAGUUAUCUCACUAGAAACCUUGGACUCAGACUCCGACCACGCCCACUCCUCCCGGUCCACCCAUGAUCCCAAAUCCCAUUGGUCACCCGCAUCAGGGUAGCCAUGCAACUCCCGCCCCCGCUCCGUAAUUGGUGAGGGUAAUUGCCGCUCCCAGUACGGCGGAGCUGGGCUCUCUCUCGGUCCACCGGCACCACCUGUUGCCCUUAAGUUAGAAAAGGCGGCGUUCUCGGAGGGAGCCAAGCAGCCGCUGCAGGUGAAGGGGAGCCUCCGGCGGUCAGGUAGCCGCCAGGCUGCCGGCUCCGUUCGGCCCGGCGCACCUGCAGCGCAGCCAGGGCGCCAAGCUGAGGCUCUCACAUCCGGGGCCCGCAGUCACCGCCAACGCGUUAACCCUUUGUCCGCAGGCCCGAGGGUGCCGGCUGUGACCGCGCGGGCCCCUAAGGUGCUAGAGAUUAGACCUGGCGCGCCCGCUAGGAAUACUUGUUUUAACAACACACUGUGAAAAUUAGAAGUUUCUGAAGGCUACAACUCUUAUGUGAUGGUCAAAAGAUUUUACAAUUUUCCUGCUCAGAUCUACUUAAUCAGAUUAUCUCAAGGUAAGGUCUUUAGAAACUAAUAGAACAAGAAGUAUCUGGAAAUCACUGAAUGA